rnacentral:rRNA from 1 species
UACGAACCGUCCAAACGUUAUUCGGAUUUAUUGGGCUUAAAGGGUAUGUAGGCGGCGCUUCAAGUCGGGUGUGAAAUCCCUCGGCUCAACCGAGGAACUGCGCCCGAUACUGUGGUGCUUGAGGGAGACAGAGGUAAGCGGAACUGAUGGUGGAGCGGUGAAAUGCGUUGAUAUCAUCAGGAACACCAGUGGCGAAAGCGGCUUACUGGGUCUCUUCUGACGCUGAGAUACGAAAGCUAGGGGAGCGAACGGG